AAAGGUCACAGGAAUUAGAUUUGAUGUUUAAGUCCGUAACGAAGCCAGAGAGAAUAGAGAAAACAACAGCAGAUACACGCCUGCACUCCUCUUAAAAAUAAAGGAGAAUAUCAGAGGCAUGCUUCUGGCUCAGAAGACUAACACAUGGUAGACGCUCAAGAAAUAUUUGUUAUUAUUUGAAUGAAGUCCUGAGAUCAAGAGUCAUGCUUCAUGAUAAAAGCUUUUCAGAGCCCUCAAACUUAGAGUACAAGAGCUGAAGCAGCUUCUUCUCCCUCACUUUGCACCCUCCCAUGCCAAGCUGUGGGGCCUGGUGGGGAUGCACGCAUUACUCCAGUCUGCCUUGCUGCUGGAGAGGCUGAGUCAAGCUGGGCCAGACUGAGCUUUUCCAGAUUUUGAAACUCGGAAUUGAGAGAUAGCUUAUGAGAAAAAAGCUAGCCAGAGACUGCAGCCUUCAGAAAAGCCUGGUUGAGGGCAGAUGGCUUGAGCUCCGGAGUUCAAGACUAGCCUGGCCAACAUGUGAAACCCUGUUUCUACUAAAAAUACAAAAAUUAGCCAGGCAUGGUGGUGAGCACCUGUAGUCCCAGCUACUCAAGAGGCUGAGGCAGGAGAAUCUCUUAAACCCGGGAGGUAGAGGUUGCAGUGAGCUGAGAUCAUGCCACUGCACUCCUGCCUGGGUGACAGAGCAAGACCCUGUCCAAAAAAAAAAGUAAAAGAGCUAAUAUUUUCAUGGACUGGGUGCAGUGGCUCAUGCCUAUAAUCCCAGAACUUUGGGAGGCAGAGGUUGUUGGGUCACUUGAGGUCAGGAGUUCGAUACCACCCUGGCCAAUAUGGUGAAACCACGUCUCUACUAAAAAUAUAAAAAUUAGCUGGGCGGGGUGGCAUAUGCCUGUAAUCUCAGCUAAUCAGGAGACUGAGGCAGGAGAAUCACUUGAACCCAGGAGGAAUAGGUUGCAGUGAGCCAAAAUCACCCCACUGCACUCCAGCCUGGGCCACGGAGUGACUGUGUCUCAAAAAAACAAAUAAACAGGUCAGGCACGGUGGCUCAAUAUCUCUUUAAAGCCUUAAUACAAGGGAAGUCUUAGUGAAUGAUGUGGUCAUCCUAUGUAGACAUUUAUUUUAGCCAAGAUAAACAUAUGAAGAAAGAAGGCCAGUGAACCCGGCGCACGCUGAAGUGAGCUGUGACUGCACCACUGCACUCCAGACUAGGUGACAUAGAAAGAUCUCAUCUCAAAAAAUAAAAAUAAAACACGGUAAUAGUUUAAUAUGUUGCCUAACAUAUAAAGAUACUUGAUAAUUAAUGUUACGUUUGCACAUACAAAAUGCAAAUGUACUAUAUGUCACAAAUAAAUUGCGUAUAUAGAACCCUCUUUUCAUUCCUUAGGAAGUAUAAAUUAUUUGGGGCUGGACACGGUGGCUCGCGCCUAUAAUCCCAACACUUUAGGGGGCCGAGGCAAGCAUUUCACCUGAGGACAGGAGUUCGAGACCAGCCUGGGCAACAUGGCAAGACCCUGUCUCAAGUGAUCUGUCUGUCUCGGCCUCCCAAAGUGCGGGGAUUACAGGCGUGAGUCACUGUGCCUGGCCCCACGUCUGCACCACACCCAGCUAAUUUUUGUAUUUUU
rnacentral:lncRNA from 1 species